ACCAUUAUUUUAGAUCGAGCCAGAGCUGAUGCCAUUGUUAUCCACCUCUGAUCAUCACUCUCUCCUCUCCAUCUCUGUCCUCCUUUGUUCUCACGUUCUUCUUCUCCCUCUGAAGCUGUGCGUUGUUGUACGAGAUGCGAGGCGCAAUCACCACCACCACCACCGUGAACCAUCUCACCUUGUCCCUCCGCGGAGCCUUGGUUCACACCGGAGGAAUUACUCUUGUCACUAGAGAUGUGGAUCUAUGGAGCUUUAGCUUUUCCGAGAAGUUGGCAAACCCAUCGCUUGCAUGAUCCGAGGUGAAACCCUAGGUUUCUUGGUAAUCAAGUUAUCUUUGGUUAUUGUCCGAUUCAUUUCGGGUUCUCCGACAUUGGCUAAGGUGAACAUGACGAGUAGUUAGAUAUGUGGACGGAUUGGUGUCUUGGGAUCGUUGUAUUUUAUUUCGG